rnacentral:rRNA from 1 species
GAUGAACGCUGGCGGCGUGCCUAAUACAUGCAAGUCGAGCGGACAGACGCGGAGCUUGCUCCUCUGACGUUAGCGGCGGACGGGUGAGUAACACGUGGAUAACCUACCUAUAAGACUGGGAUAACUUCGGGAAACCGGAUCUAAUACCGUAGGAUAUAUUGAACCGCAUGGUUCAAUAGUGAGAGACGGUGUUGCUGUCACUUAUAGCUGGAUCCGCGCCGCAUUAGCUAGUUGGUAAGGUAACGGCUUACCAAGGCAACGAUGCGUAGGCGACCGGAUAGGGUGAUCGGCCACCCUGGAAGUGAGCCACGGACCAGAGUCCUACGGGAGGCAGCAGUAGGGAAUGUUCCGCAAUGGGCGAAAGCCUGACGGAGCAACGCCGCGUGAGUGAUGACGGUCUUCGGAUCGUAAAACUCUGUUAUUAGGGAAGAACAAAUGUGUAAGUAACUAUGCACGUCUUGACGGUACCGAAUCAGAAAGCCACGGCUAACUACGUG